rnacentral:rRNA from 1 species
GACGAACGCUGGCGGCGUGCUUAACACAUGCAAGUCGAACGGAAAGGCCCUGCUUUUGUGGGGUGCUCGAGUGGCGAACGGGUGAGUAACACGUGAGUAACCUGCCCUUGACUUUGGGAUAACUUCAGGAAACUGGGGCUAAUACCGGAUAGGAGCUCCUGCUGCAUGGUGGUGGUUGGAAAGUUUCGGCGGUUGGGGAUGGACUCGCGGCUUAUCAGCUUGUUGGUGGGGUAGUGGCUUACCAAGGCUUUGACGGGUAGCCGGCCUGAGAGGGUGACCGGCCACAUUGGGACUGAGAUACGGCCCAGACUGCUACGGGCGGCAGCAGUGGGGAAUAUUGCACAAUGGGCGGAAGCCUGAUGCAGCAACGCCGCGUGCGGGAUGACGGCCGUCGGGUUGUAAACCGCUUUCGCCUGUGACGAAGCGUGAGUGACGGUAAUGGGUAAAGAAGCACCGGCUAACUACGUG